AGUGAACGCUGGCGGCAGGCCUAACACAUGCAAGUCGAACGGCAGCACAGUAAGAGCUUGCUCUUAUGGGUGGCGAGUGGCGGACGGGUGAGGAAUACAUCGGAAUCUACUCUUUCGUGGGGGAUAACGUAGGGAAACUUACGCUAAUACCGCAUACGACCUACGGGUGAAAGCGGAGGACCUUCGGUCUUCGCGCGAUCGAAUGAGCCGAUGUCGGAUUAGCUAGUUGGCGGGGUAAAGGCCCACCAAGGCGACGAUCCGUAGCUGGUAUGGGAGGAUGAUCAGGCAGACUGGAAGUGAGACACGGUCCAGACUCCUACGGGAGGCAGCAGUGGGGAAUAUUGGACAAUGGGCGCAAGCCUGAUCCAGCCAUGCCGCGUGGGUGAAGAAGGCCUUCGGGUUGUAAAGCCCUUUUGUUGGGAAAGAAAAGCAGUCGGUUAAUACCCGAUUGUUCUGACGGUACCCAAAGAAUAAGCACCGGCUAACUUCGUGCCAGCAGCCGCCGCCG
rnacentral:rRNA from 1 species